rnacentral:rRNA from 1 species
GACAGAGGCCUCGAGCGUUAGGCGGAAUCACUGGGCUUAAAGCGUGUGUAGGCGGAUCGGUAAGUACCUUGUGAAAUCCCACAGCUUAACUGUGGAACUGCUUGGUAUACUGCCAGUCUUGAGCCAGCUAGGGGCUACCGGAACAAAUGGUGGAGCGGUGAAAUGCGUAGAUAUCAUUUGGAACGCCAAUGGUGAAAACAGGUAGCUGGGGCUGUGCUGACGCUGAGACACGAAAGCCAGGGGAGCAAACGGG